CCUACGGGACGCAGCAGUGAGGAAUAUUGGUCAAUGGCCGCAGGGCUGAACCAGCCAAGUCGCGUGAGGGAUGACGGUCCUAUGGAUUGUAAACCUCUUUUGUCGGAGAGCAAAGCGAACCACGUGUGGUUCAUUGAGAGUACCCGAAGAAAAAGCAUCGGCUAACUCCGUGCCAGCAGCCGCGGUAAUACGGAGGAUGCGAGCGUUAUCCGGAUUUAUUGGGUUUAAAGGGUGCGUAGGCGGAUUUUUAAGUCAGCGGUAAAAUGUCCGGGCUCAACCCGGGCCGGCCGUUGAAACUGGGGAUU
rnacentral:rRNA from 1 species